rnacentral:rRNA from 1 species
AUUGAACGCUGGCGGCAGGCCUAACACAUGCAAGUCGAACGAGUGGCGGACGGGUGAGUAAUGUCUGGGCAACUGCCUGAUGGAGGGGGAUAACUACUGGAAACGGUAGCUAAUACCGCAUACCAUCAGAUGUGCCCAGAUGGGAUUGGCUAGUGGGUGGGGUAACGGCUCACCUAGGCGACGAUCCCUAGCUGGUCUGAGAGGAUGAACAGCCACUCUGGAACUGAGACACGGUCCAGACUCCUACGGUGGGCAUCGGUGGGGAAUAUUGCACAAUGGGCGCAAGCCUGAUGCAGCCAUGCCCCGUGUAUGAAGAAGGCCUUCGGGUUGUAAAGUACUUUCAGCGGGGAGGCGUUACCCGCAGAAGAAGCACCGGCUAACUCCGUGCCAGCAGCCGCGGUAAUUC